rnacentral:rRNA from 1 species
UACGUAGGGUGUGAGCGUUGUCCGGAAUUACUGGGCGUAAAGAGCUCGUAGGUGGUUUGUCGCGUUGUCCGUGAAAACUCACAACUCAAUUGUGGGCGUGCGGGCGAUACGGGCAGACUGGAGUACUGCAGGGGGAGACUGGAAUUCCUGGUGUAGCGGUGGAAUGCGCAGAUAUCAGGAGGAACACCGGUGGCGAAGGCGGGUCUCUGGGCAGUAACUGACGCUGAGGAGCGAAAGCGUGGGGAGCGAACAGGA